rnacentral:rRNA from 1 species
GACGAACGCUGGCGGCGUGCUUAACACAUGCAAGUCGAACGGAAAGGCCCUGCUUUUGUGGGGUGCUCGAGUGGCGAACGGGUGAGUAACACGUGAGUAACCUGCCCUUGACUUUGGGAUAACUUCAGGAAACUGGGGCUAAUACCGGAUAGGAGCUCCUGCUGCAUGGUGGGGGUUGGAAAGUUUCGGCGGUUGGGGAUGGACUCGCGGCUUAUCAGCUUGUUGGUGGGGUAGUGGCUUACCAAGGCUUUGACGGGUAGCCGGCCUGAGAGGGGGACCGGCCACAUGGGGACUGAGAUACGGACCAGACUCCUACGGGAGGCAGCAGUGGGGAAUAUUGCGCAAUGGGCGGAAGCCUGAGGCAGCAACGCCGCGUGCGGAAUGACGGCCUUCGGGUGGUAAACCGCUGUCGCCUGUGACGAAGCGGGAGUGACGGUAAUGAGUAAAGAAGCACCGGCUAACUACGUG